rnacentral:rRNA from 1 species
AUUGAACGCUGGCGGCAUGCCUUACACAUGCAAGUCGAACGGUAACAGGUCUUCGGAUGCUGACGAGUGGCGAACGGGUGAGUAAUAUAUCGGAACGUAUCCAAUAAUGGGGGAUAACUAAUCGAAAGGUUGGCUAAUACCGCAUACGUCCUACGGGAGAAAGCUAGGGACCUUCGGGCCUGGCGUUAAUGGAGCGGCCGAUAUCUGCGUAGCUAGUUGGUGAGGUAAAGGCUCACCAAGGCGACGAUCAGUGGCCGGUCUGAGAGGACGAUGCGCCACACUGGAAAUUAGACACGUUCCAGACUCCUACGGGAGGCAGCAGUGGGGAAUUUUGGACAAUGGGCGCAAGCCUGAUCCAGCCAUUCCGCGUGGGUGAAGAAGGCCUUCGGGUUGUAAAGCUCUUUCGCAAGGGAAGAAAACUUACCCUCUAACAUAGGGUGAGGAUGACGGUACCUUGAUAAGAAGCACCGGCUAACUACGUGCCAGCCGCCGCAGUAACAC